rnacentral:rRNA from 1 species
GCAAGUCGAACGGCAGCACCAUAAGAGCUUGCUCUUAUGGGUGGCGAGUGGCGGACGGGUGAGGAAUACAUCGGAAUCUACCUUUUCGUGGGGGAUAACGUAGGGAAACUUACGCUAAUACCGCAUACGACCUUCGGGUGAAAGCAGGGGACCUUCGGGCCUUGCGCGGAUAGAUGAGCCGAUGUCGGAUUAGCUAGUUGGCGGGGUAAAGGCCUACCAAGGCAACGAUCCAUAGCUGGUCUGAGAGGAUGAUC